ACCACUGUGACAGACUUCUCUGUAUAUAUCGUUGCCCUAUUAACUAGAAAGUCGUGCGCUUUGAGCUUCCUCCAGUUCUCUGUAUAACAAUUCUUUUCCCCUUGGUGCUGUUGCUUACCAAAGUCUGAUAACUUUGGCUUCUACCUUGACCGUUCAAGUCUGUUCUACCAUUUUCCUCCACUGUAACAGACCUCUCUAUAUAUAUCGCUGCCCUACUUACUAGAAAGUUGUGGGCUUUGAGCUUCCUGUUCUCUGUAUAACAGUUCUUUUCUGCUUGGUGCUGUUGCUUACCAUUUUACCUCGAUUGCCUUCGUCAUGAUCAUAACAUAUACAAGAUCCUUUUUUUUAUUCGUUCUGCUUGUAGAGCACUUGUUAUCACCAGCUCUUGGGUUCAUUCUAGGAGUUGGAGAUGGUCAUAUUCAGUGCAUAGAGACCGAGAGACGAGCACUUCUCAAUAUCAAACAAGACCUUAUAGACGACCACGGACAUCUCGAUUCUUGGGGGAGUGAAGAAGAGAAGAGAGAUUGUUGCGAAUGGAGAGGGAUCCAGUGCAGCAACCAAACUGGUCACAUCACUGUUCUUGAUCUUCAUGUUGCCGAGCUCGGUGAUAGACACAAGCCCCUGAGAGGUAAAAUUAAUCAUUCACUGCUCAAAUUGCAACAUCUUCGCUAUUUGGACUUGAGUUACAAUGAUUUUCAAGGGACUCGGCUCCCUAAUUUCAACGACUCUCUGAGAAAAUUAAGAUAUCUCAAUAUCUCCAAUGUUGGUUUCACUGGAACCCUCUCAUAUCAGCUUAGGAACCUCUCAAGCUUGCAGUCUCUUGAUCUUAGUUAUAAUAAUUUUUCUAAAGUUGAAAACCUUGAGUGGCUUUCUCAUCUUUCUUAUUUAGAAACCCUGGAUUUAAGUGGGAAUCGCCUUGGCGAAGACGGAUAUUGGUUGCAUGUAGUUAACAGGCUCCCUUAUCUAACAAACUUGCAUCUAAGCUCCUGUGACCUUGCAAAUAUCAUUCCGAUGUCUAAUUCCCUUGCAAAUUCUUCCACUUCUCUUGCAGUCCUUGAUCUCUCUUCCAACUAUUUCUCUUAUCCAGUAUUCCAGUGGGUUUUUAACUUGAAUAGCAGCCUUGUUGAUAUUAAUCUCAGUGAUAAUCAUUUGGAAGGCUUCGUUCCAUAUGCAUUUCAGUACAUGGCUUCUCUUAAAAAUCUUAAUCUUUCCUUUAAUGAACUUAAAGGAACAAUUCCAAACUUUUUUGGAAAUUUCUGUAGUUUGCAUACGCUAGAUCUUGCUGGGAAUAAUCUCACUGGACAGCUUCCUGUGUUUCUUGAACAUUUGUCUGGGUGUGCAGAGAACUCGGUGGAGAUUCUGAGCUUAGAAAAGAAUCAGCUUCAUGGUUCAUUGCCUGAUAUCACAAGAUUUUCUUCCUUGAAAGAACUGAAUGUCUAUCAAAAUAAUCUGGAUGGCUACUUUCCAGAAAGCUUCAGCCAACUUUCUGGUCUCGUUGUCUUGGAUGUGGCUCACAACAAACUGGCAGGAUCAUUACCUGAUCUUACAAUGUUUCCAUCGUUGAAGAUGUUAAGCAUUUCUCACAAUAGAUUGAAUGGGACUAUAACUGAAAGUCUCGGAGGCCUAUCUAAGCUUGAGAUUUUGUAUGCUAACGAUAAUUCUUUCAAUGGUUUAAUUACCGAAACUCACUUUUGGAAUCUCUCCCAAUUACAGGAAUUGUUCUUGAAUGACAACCCUCUGGUUUUGAAAUUCAACUCUGAUUGGUUUCCUCCUUUUCAGUUGGAUGUAAUAUGUCUUAUGUCCUGCAAUUUGGGGCCUGAUUUCCCGAAAUGGCUUCAAACUCAAAAUGACUAUAUCUCACUUGAUAUCUCAGAUGCUGGACUUUCAGGUUCUGUUCCUGAGUGGUUUUGGGACCUAUCUCCUAGGGUGCGUUUUCUGAAUCUCUCUUACAACCAAUUGAGUGGCACGGUGCCAGAUUUAUCCUCAAAAUUCGUUGGCAGCCCAGGAAUAGAUUUGAGUUCAAAUCUUUUUGAAGGUCAUUUGCCACUCUUUCCUUCCAAUGCUUUAUCAUUGAGUCUUUCUAAAAAUAGAUUUUCGGGCUCCAUCUCUUCGGUAUGCAACACAAUGGGCAGGAAAUUCAGUUUUCUGGACCUCUCAGAUAACUUAUUGUCUGGAUUCAUUGAUGAUGAUUGUUUCACGAAUGGACAACAACUGAUUGUCCUGAACUUGGCUGACAACAAAUUUUCGGGAAAAAUUCCAACCUCUGUGGGAUCUCUAUCUGAGCUCCAAACAUUCAGUUUACGAAAUAAUAGCUUCUCUGGAGAAAUACCUUUAUCCUUAAGGAAUUGCAGUCGGCUGAGAUUUUUGGACCUUAGUUAUAAUAGAUUAUCCGGGAAAAUACCUGCAUGGAUCGGGGAAAGCCAGCAUAAUUUGGUCUUUUUCAAUUUACAGUCUAAUGAGUUUCAUGGAAGCAUACCAGUUCAGUUAUGUUGGUUACAAAAUAUUCUGUUGUUGGAUCUCUCCGUAAACAAUAUUUCAGGAACCAUACCCCAUUGCCUGGAGAAUUUCACCCAUAUGUCAAGAAAACAGUUAGACGACAACAAUAACAUAUAUGGUUACAAUUUUUCUGCAUCUUGGGGAGAAGGUGGCGGUUUUCAAGCCAAGUAUGCUGAUAGGGCCCUGAUUGGAUGGAAAGGAAGAGCAUACAAAUAUGACAAAAAUCUUCGUCUGUUAAGGAUCAUUAAUCUUGCAGUAAACAGAUUAUCUGGGGAAAUUCCAGGGGAAAUAACAAGUCUUCUAGCUCUGGUUGGAUUCAACUUAUCAAGAAAUUAUUUGACUGGAAUGAUUCCUGGGGAUAUUGGAAAAUUGAAGCAGUUACAGUGGCUAGAUUUAUCCAGAAAUCGAUUAUCAGGAGUCAUUCCUGCUAGCAUGGCUGAGCUACACUUUUUGAGUUACAUGGACCUUUCCUACAACAACUUGUCAGGGAGAAUUCCAACAAGCACUCAGCUUCAGAGCUUUGAUGCUUCUAGUUUUGCUGGUAAUUCGGAAAUCUGUGGGCAACCGGUGAUCAAAAAAUGUCCUGGAGAUGAGAGGCCUCAAGUUGGACCAAGAAAAGAUGAUAGCCAAGACAACGAAGAAAACGAUGAUGAAUUGAGGAAAUGGUUUUUAGCCGGUUUGGGUUCUGGAUUCAGUAUUGGCUUUGUGGGAGUUUUAGGCAUUUUAGUGCAACGGCCUUCUUGGAUCCCUGCCUUUUUCUAGUUCCUGGACAAAUCGAGGGACUGGCCCUUGGUGAUAGCGGAAAUCAAAGGCAAGAUCAGAUUCCUUUGGUGGACAAUUUGGAGUUUGACUACUGCCUACCGUUGCGUCAAAGUACAAGACGGACCAAUGAAUUUUAAAUCCAUUUCGUGUAUUUCCCACCAUCUUCAGUUUCCAUGAGAAUAAUUAGUUAACUUUGGCAUUCAUGUCUUACGUGAUGAAUCUUCAAUUUCUAUGGUGAGACUGUAAUUAAAUUAUAAAGUUGGUUAUUGCUUUUAGUGGAAAGAAUAAAAACAACCCAUGUUGAUUUUUUUUUUUUU